rnacentral:lncRNA from 1 species
UGAUCUUCUGGAAGGCUCUCCCAUCUCCACAGGAACCCUGGAGCUCUGUCAGAGUGACCAUUGGGUUCUUGGCCUGACCAAGGCCCUUCUCCCCCGAAUGCUCAGUUUGGCCGGGCGAUCAGCUCUAGGAAGAGUCUUGGUGGUUCCAAACUUCUUCCAUUUAAGAAUGAUGGAGGGCACUGUGUUCUUGGGGACCUUUAAUGCUGCAGAAAUGUUCUGGACCCUUCCCCAGAUCUGUGCCUCGACACAAUCCUGUCUCGGAGCUCUACGUACAAUUCCUUCAACCUCAUGGCUUAGUUUUUGCAUGACAUGCACUGUCAACUUUGGGACCUUUCAUAGACAGUUUUGUGCUUUUCCAAAUCAUGUCCAAUCAAUUCAGUUUACCACAGGAGGACUCCAAUCAAGUAGAAACAUCUCAAGGAUAAUCAAUGGAAACAGGAUUCACCCGAGCUUAAUGUCUAGUCUCAUAGCAAAGGGUGUGAAUACUUAUGUAAAAAAUAUAUUUCUGUUUUUUAAUUUUUUAAUUUGCAAAAAUUAAAAUGCUUUUGCUUUGUCAUUAUGAGGUAUUGUGUGUAAAGUGCUGAGGCUUUUUUACUUAUUUAAUCCAUUUUAGAAUAAGGCUGUAACAAAAAAAAGUCAAGGGGUCUGAAUUCUUUCCAAAGGCACUGUAAAGUCGUUUUUGUGUAAAUUUGCCGAAAUGAGACAUGCGUCCACUUAUAUCAGCGCAUUCGUAACAACCUAAACGUAACGAAACUUCUAUUAGAUAAAAUAAGCCUCACGUAGCAAAUUAGCAAUUCAAUUUAUUUUUACCAAAUUCAACACUUUCAUUGACCUCAUCACUUCAUGUGUUUAUUUUCAUGGACAGACUUGUCCAUACAUUAUGUGUUUAACCUUUGUUCAUAAGUAAUAAUAAUUUGAUGGAAAUGGUUUUAAUCAUAGAGGUAGUUGGGGCAUUUCACUAAUUCAAUGCCUUUUGAGAAAUGUAGCAUGCACAUUUUUUUUUUUGAUUUAGCCUGAUUUUAACAUUCCGUCAUAAACCUUACAUGGCUACCUGACAACUUUACGGUUUUUACUUUUUAAUUACCGUUUAUAUUUUUUGUUUUUCCCUCGCUCGACUAUUUUUCAUUAAACUUUUUCACUCCGGACGCUUUAUCUGGACGUGGUUCGUCAGGACCUCCACCAGCCGAAGCUAAGUAGUAACAUUAACAUGAUGCCUUCUAAUUGCAGUUGCUGUACUCAUAAUAUACAGUGAGGAUAGCUGUGCUGCAAGCCCAGCUUCAGACGCAAUCGUUAGGCAAGGGUAAUUUCAGUGUAGGAAAGGAUGAAACAGCGUCUGUGCCACCAUUUCUUUCUCGGAGGACCUGAGCCCUAGGACCAUGCCUCAGGACUACCUAGCCUGAUGACUCCUUGCUGUUCCCAGUCCACCUGGCCGUGCUGCUGCUCCAGUACCAACUGUUCUGCCUGUGGCUAUGUAACCCUGACCUGUUCACCGGACGUGCUACCUGUCCCAGAUCUGCUGUUUUCAACUCUCUAGAGACAGAAGGAGCGGUAGAGAUACUCUGAAUGAUCGGCUAUGAAAAGCCAACUGACAUUUACUCCUGAGGUGCUGACCUGUUGCACCCUCAACAACCAGUGUGAUGAUUAUUAUUUGACCCUGCUGGUCAUCUAUGAACAUUUAAACAUCUUGGCCAUGUUCUGUUAUAAUCUCCACCCGGCACAGCCAGAAGAGGACAAGCCACCCCUCAUAGCCUGGUUCCUCUCUAGGUUUCUUCCUAGGUUCUGGCCUUUCUAGGGAGUUUUUCCUAGCCACCGUGCUUCUACACCUGCAAUGCUUUCUGUUUGGGGUUUUAGGCUGGGUUUCUGUGCAGCACUUUGAGAUAUCAGCUAAUGUAAGAAGGGCUUUAUAAAUACAUUUGAUUGAUAAAGAGUACAUGUUCAACUUAAUAAAAACACAUAUUCCCAUCUCAAAGAGGUUAAAUAAAAAAUGUACUAUAUUAAGUGCUUAUUAAGUGCCAAAUAAAGUAACAGGGUUGAUGAUUUAUUCUUAGAAUCAGCCAUGAAUCCCCUUGUGACACGGGGAAUGGAAGCUUGUUGUGUGCAACAGGCAGUUGCAAUUGUUAAAACAUUUCUAGCCUGUUUAUCUAUGGGUAACAGGGUUUAUGUGUUUUGCUUGACCGUUCAGUUUUCCACCACAAAAUACCAGAAAAUGGCCAAAAAGUGUAGAAACAGUUCACCUGCUUUUACUGUCACGAAUCCCACCGAAGGUGGCUCCCCUGCCUGCUCGGGCGGCGCUCGGCGGUCGUCGUCACCGGCCUACUAGCCGCCGCUGAUCCCUUUUUCCUUUUCGUUUGGUAUGUCUUAUUGUUUGCACCUGUUCCUCAUUUG